rnacentral:misc_RNA from 1 species
GAACGCACAUUGCGCCCCUUGGUAUUCCAUGGGGCAUGCCUGUUCGAGCGUCAUUUGUACCUUCAAGCUCUGCUUGGUGUUGGGUGUUUGUCUCGCCUCUGCGUGUAGACUCGCCUUAAAACAAUUGGCAGCCGGCGUAUUGAUUUCGGAGCGCAGUACAUCUCGCGCUUUGCACUCACAACGACGACGUCCAAAAGUACAUUUUUACACUCUUGACCUCGGAUCAGGUAGGGAUACCCGCUGAACUUAAG